rnacentral:rRNA from 1 species
UACAGAGGGUGCGAGCGUUAAUCGGAAUUACUGGGCGUAAAGCGUGCGUAGACGGUUAUUUAAGUCGGGUGUGAAAGCCCCGGGCUCAACCUGGGAAUUGCGAUGGAGACUGCAAGGCUUGAAUCUGGCAGAGGGGGGUAGAAUUCCACGUGUAGCAGUGAAAUGCGUAGAGAUGUGGAGGAACACCGAUGGCGAAGGCAGCCCCCUGGGUCAAGAUUGACGCUCAUGCACGAAAGCGUGGGGAGCAAACAGG